GUUCCUGCGGUCUCCUCCUGGCUGCCACCCCUGUCCGUCUCUCCGGGUUACUCUCCAGGGAGCCGGGAGCCGCUUCAGGUUGCAAUCUGCGAUGCAACGGCGCCUUUGUUUGACUCCAGCCUUGUUUUGCCUCAUACCUUAUCCUCCUAUUUAGAGUACCUCAGCACCUCAUGGGCUCCGCUUCACCAGUUCCUCAAUCAGUCAAUGCCUCUGACUUCUAGCCGCCAUCCCUCCCAGUGGAUACUUUAAGCAGGCAAGCAAACCAAACAAACGCCCAGCACGCUUGCAUGCAGCAAUCUCCGUUUUCCGGUCUUUGGUCGCAUGACUUGACCUCAGCGUAUCCCCUACACUUGAUCUUCACACACAGCUUCAUAGGUUAAGACACUUUUUUUCCAGAGAAAUCAUACUUUCUAUCUGCGAUUGUGGAACUGCGAUUGCUCUAAGCCCUUGAAAACAGUUUCCUCACCAUGAAAGCUUGGGCCAAAAAUUAGAAGUGAAACCCAGCCCUCCCUCUGUCUUCUACUCUUGGCCUACCUUGGCCCUAUACUUUAUCAUCCAUAAACCAAAACAGUCGCCUGGCCUGACAAUGUUUGAUCGGGGAAGUUUGAGUUGGGGAAUUAACCUACAACCUGACAGAAUGAGGCCCGCCCGUCUCUAACAGAGUUCAAAACCUCCUGAAGAUGAAAGUAACUUCAAAACUAACUCAGACCAUUUUAACGGUUUUGCUUACAAUUACCAGAACUACAUUUCUUUGAAAAUUUGAUUUAGCAAUCGUAAACAAGCUGUACUGUUUGCUGACUAUAGCGUAUCUACUGGCAAGUUACCAGUAUUAAUGUGUUGUCCAUAACAAACCUCGGAUUAAUGUUAUUGUUAAUCUGUUUAAUUGAAGAGUUUAACUUCAUAUCUAACUUCAUCUACUAUGAAAUCAGUUACCUUCAGGAAGCAGGAUUCCUCCUACUCUCCACUCACAUGAAGGACCAGUGUCUGUUUUGGAGGCAUGGAGUUGGAAAUGAGUUGGAGAGAUGACGGUAACAGUAGCUUCUAAAUAUGAACCUGAUGCUUAUACAACCAUUAUACCAAAAGUAAAGCUGGGACCAUCUCAUAAUGUUUGUGUACAUUCCUGUUGUCUUCUACCUCCCAUCCACCGUGUCUCUCUACUGCCUAUAACCAGCCUACAUAAGGAAUACUCUUUUAAACAGAUUGCUCUGCUCAUAUGUUCUGCCUUUGGAAUUGGCAUUAUUAUGUUUGGCCCUUUAAUGGAAGAAUUAUUGGAAGUAAGGAAGGUUUCACCUUGAAACAACUAAACCUUGUGUUUGACCAUUUUGCAAUGAGUAAUAACUAUUUAGAUUGUCAUUUAUUAAAUGUUGAAACUCCAAAUAAUAAAUUUUCACAAAAAUAUAUUUUAGAAUUAUUCAGAUGGUCAAUGUUAAAUUACUUAAUAGUUAAAAGUGAAAUUGGUUCAUCGUUUGAAUAAUGUUAUUGGAGAAACUGAAAAGUAGAAAAAAUAAACUCGAGUGACUUGGUAACAGCCUGUUGGGAGACUGAACACCUGUAGCUUUAUUGAUAUGUAGUUUCUAAAAGUAAAAAAAGCUCAAUGCAAUAAAAGAAUUGCUGUGCUAACAUUUACAUCUUCUCCAGUAUAUUCAAGAUCAGUGUUCAUCAUCUGGGCUGGGCUCUGCUCUUCUCAAACUUCUUCAAAGUUACACAGUUUGAUUGUCAGUCCAAAUACUUAGAGAAUGUGUGCAGGUGUACCAUACCAAUUAUCAAUAGCUAAACUUGUUUACCAAGAUAGAGAACAUUUACACAACAUAAAAGUAUGUAUUUUUCUAUUGGGCUAAAGGAUUCUUAUGAUUCAUAGCUACUGGCAAUGAAUUUACUUUAAAAAUUAACUGAUGAUUAAUGUAGACCUUGUGUUAGGACUGUGGACACUAUUCUAUUACUGUUUAUUUGGAAUUACAUGGUCUGUGAUCACCAACAGCAAAAAAUCUGUAUGCUAAUUUCCUAGCCUACAGUGACAUUCAGCUGUGCUUACUUUCCUUUCAGUAUGAGGAAUGUCUAAAAUAUUUUCUGACUCUUUGUGCCUAGUAGGAAAAAAGUAAAGUAAUUUUAGGGUUGUUGUUUGUGUUAGAUUAUUAAACUAUUUGCCAAGUCUGACUUAUAAUUACAAAAUUCUGUUGAAUUUUAGUACCUCUUUUCAUCUUCAUUCAAAACAGAAGUCAUUUCUGAACCUACAUGCAGCCUGAGUGAGCACUCAUGGGUAUAUUUGAGCCAUUGAAGCAUUCCUGGUUAUUGACCCUUGGAAUGACUUCACUAAUGCCCUAUGGUAUGGAGACCUCAAUUCAUUUCUAACCUUGCUCAUAGUCAUAACUGGACUGAAUUUAGUGCUUUAAUCACAUCAUUUUACUUCAUAAAAAAUAAUAUUUUCCUCAUUGUUUUAAAGAAAAUUGCAUACAUUUAACGUUCUCACAGAUUGAUGUUAAACUGUUGGUAGAUGGAAUUUGGAGAGAAUGAAGUAGACCAGAUGUUUUCAUAACAUUUUUCCUUUUCGAACGUUGUCAUGUAUAGCCCAAGGCAUUUAAUGAAGUCAUCAAAUUGCAGUCAAUACCUAAAUGUGUUGGAAGAGUGAGUGUUUUGGGGUUCUCUGGCUCAUCUUAAGGACUAGAUGCUCUAAGAGCUGGAGUAGUAAAGGGGACACAAGGUAGAUUCAGAUUGGCCUGGGCUCAGCUACUCAAGAGUUUUACUGAAAUUGUGAUAUUAGGAUCUUUACCUACCCUCUAUGAGCCUAAGUUUCUUUACACAACAGUGAUGAUGGAAAUGAGCAAAAGCACAGUCUUUAUUUAUUUUGUCUUUUUCUUUUUUUUUUUUGGAAACAGUUAAACACUGUAUCCUGAUUCCCCUCACUACAUGGGAUAAUUACUUAACCUUUGUAGGAAUCACUUUAUUCAUCUUUAAAUUGAUUCUAAUGAUAGUGCUUUUUUCUCAAUGUGUUAUUGUAAGAAAUAAAUGAGUUUCUCCAGGUGAAACAUUUAGAAUGCCACAAGGAAUGGGAUAAAUGCUCAAUAAAAGUUGACAUUUUAGUUAUAAUUGUCAUGUGUUGUAUAUGAAAAGGUCGAGAGUUUGGUUUGAGAAGUAAAGCAAGGUAUAGAUUGUGAAGGGAUUAUUUUCUUGUUGUGGGAAUGACAUAAAUAUUUGCAUUUUAGCAAGAUAUACUGAUUGCGUGGACAAGGCUUAUUUAUGUAAAAGGAGGGCCUACCUUGGAAGGCAUGGUGCAAGGUUCACCACUAAAAUGGAACAAGUAAAAGUUAUAUGUAAGAAGAGGAAUUUAUGUAUUUUAUGUCAUUUUGCAGGUAGGACUAACAUCAUUUGACAACCAAAUAAGUAGAGAGAGAAGUAAGUUGAUAACUCUUUUGUACCUUGAGCAAUAAAGUCUUAUGAUGAUUGUCAAAUAUGAUAAAGGUAGAUGACGGUCCUAUUCACAGAAGUGAGAAAAGUAAGAAAAGAAGGUUCGGAAAGAUAAAAAUUAUGAAAGUAAUUUUAGAAAUUAUGUAUGCUAUGCUGAGGACCAAUAUACAAGGACAGUGGAAAAAGUGGUAAAAGUUGUUUGGGAAAUAGUUAAAUAGAUCUUUUUGGGAAUUAAUGAAGAUGUUUGAAGAAUCGGACAAAACCUGAUUUCCUACCAAACACAGCUAUGAUGUAAUUGUUUCUUUGAAAAAUUUAAGAUGCACUCAGGGAAAGUAGGCAGAAAAAAUACUUAAAUUUAUUAUAAAUAUGAUGAAUUAAAUUAAAUAGCUUGUUUCUUAAUACUCUUCUAAAGAGAGAUGGACUACUUUAAUUGUGUGAUUAUUGAAACAAAUGAUUACUGAGAAUUGAGGUCUGUAUAAAGGGCAAAAUACUAGAUAGAAUAUUACAAUGAAAAGAGAAAAGGGUACUAGGUAUCUGGAAGAAAGAAGGAGAAAGGAUAAAUACAAGGUGGUAACAAAACAUUUUGCCUCGUUUGCACUGUAAUUAGCGUUGACCUCUAAUCCCAGGGUUCAGAUACUGUUGAUUUUUCCAAAGAAACUGGUUGGUGUAGGUUCUUUCAUUCACUCAAUAAAUACCUGUUGAGGAACUACUAUGUUCUGAGCCCUUCUAGGAGCCUAAGAUGCAGUGAUGAACAAGAGAGUUAAAGGAAUCUGCCCCAAAGAACCUACAUGGUACUUGGAGGAGAAAGAAAAUAAAAUCUAAAAGUUAAUGAAUUAGAUAAAUAUAAUAAGUUCUGACUGUGAUAGGUAAAAAUAAAGGAAAUUAACAAUGAAACAUGAUAGACAGUAAUGAAGACCUUACCUUGGGUACUCAAGGAAAACCUUAUCUGAUGAGAUACAAAAUGUGUUUAUAUAUUUUGCUGUGAUUGUUAGAAGAGACAUGAGAUAGUACCUGGACAGAGAUUUUUCAAUUAAGGGAAAUUUGCUUUUUUCAGAAUGAGAUACUGGAACAUGCUUUUUUUAAAAAAAAGUAAGUAAAAUGAGACAUACUAGAGCAUUCUUACAUUUUUUGAAAAAUAGGCAAGUAUAGAAGAAGAAAUUGAUGAUGUAGAACAAAGAAGAUAGUUUCAAAUGGAAAGUCUGGUUGGCAAUCUGGGAUGGGAUCCUGAGCACCAAGAGAGAACAAGACCUUUUUUAGGGAAUAGACAUUUCUUCCUUUCCAGAGGAGGGAAGCUGAGUACACAGUACAGAAGCAGGUAGGUUAAUAGUUUUGUUGAUAGGCAGAUAAAGGACCUCCCUUCUGUUUUUCCUUUUUCUUUUUCUGUGUUUUCUGUUUUAUUCCCAGCCAUCUAUAUUAUCAAACUUCCAAUGCACUUAAUUAAAGCUUUUCCCAUGAGUAAGAAAUUCAUCCUAAUAUAAAUGCUGACACACUGAGUGGAGUUUGUGUUUUUUAUUUCCAAGUUUAAAGAAAAAUGUUUUGAAUAAACUCUUAGUCUUAUAAGAAGGAAUAUGCCCAGCACUUAGCAAUUUCAUGAAUCAUUGGGCUAUGCUGUUGCACAUAAGGGAAUUUUUAAAGAUUAUAUCUAAAGCAUUGCUAUUGUAGCAUUCUAGUCAUGUUUAUAUGUCUGCAGGGAAACAGUGCAUAUUUUUAUAAACAAAAUUUCCUUAACAUAGCAAAAGAAAACAGAAAAUUGCUUUAAAAAGAGCACAAAAUGCAAAGUUAGCAAAAAUUUUCUAUACUGAAAAAAGAACCGUUGUUGGAAAUGUCAAUCUCAUCUUUACCUAAGUACAAAAUUUUGAUGUACUGGAAAAACUCAAAAUUCAGUGAAAUUUAAUUCGAUUAAUAUGAUAAGUAUUCUGAGAGGUCUGCAUCUCAUAGGUGAUUUAAGUGAAUUAUGUUGCUAAUUAGUCUAGCAAUCAUAAUUCAGUAUACUGGUGGAUGCUUAAACCCUAUUUCUUAAAUACAGCACAGAACUUGAAUGGUUUUGUUGUUGUUAUUGUUAGUUGUUGAUUCCUUACUCUCUCUAGGACUCAGGUAACUGGAAAUGUACCUAUACCAUAAUUUUUUACUAUUUGUAAACCCCAUGGACAUAACAUUUUGCAUAUCAAAGUUAACCAAAUUAUUGCCAUGGAAAAAUCUAAUAAAACACAGCGUUAAUUAAAACUUUAACUUUCUAAUUUCCAUACCAUAAUUUAAUUGUCAGCCCACGUUAGGUUUCCUCUCUUUGAUUCAUGUCUCACUCAUCUACUAAUCCAUUAAUUAAACAAACAUUUGCUGAAAUCAAAUAUGGUAGCAUUAGACGUAUAGAAGAGAAUAAGACAGCAGAGCCCUUGGACCUUAUGAACCUAUUGUUUAUUGGAUAAAAUAGACAUUUAACUAAUAAUUUCAGGCACUAUCAAUGAUAAAAAACUGGGAAACACAAGGUUUUGUGAAGUACAAAGCUAGCCUGGGUUUCACACACCAGAAGAAACAUGGAAAGUCAGAUAGAAACGUGGACAUUGUCUGUCCAACCAAUCAUUGACCUUACUUUUCAAACACCACUUCUCAAAUAGUUGGCUGGGAAAAACUCUUGUAUAAUUUUGGAGAAUGAUUGUAUUCUGUAUACUUGGCCUGUGUAGAUUAAUAACUUAAGCUCAUAGAGCAAAAAUUAUCCUCAUUUAUAUAUAAUUACAGCAUAUUUAGUUCAGUCUGAUAAUGAAACUUUAUCCACAGUUGUCCAAACAUCUUGAAUCUAGAAAUAGUUAUGGGUCUCCAAACAAAUCAUUCCUAAUUUGCAUGUGGUAAAUGUAAUGACAACUUGAGAACUAGCUCCUACAUAAAUAAUGUCAGAAGAUAUAUCAGUGUUUCUAAUUUGUACUCUUCUUUUUCAUUUGGCAGAUAAACAUUUUCAAUGGAGAUGAUGAAAUCAGUGCAGACAAGGCUGCUUUCAUUUAGAAAGAUGAAUGAAAAACAUACUUCUUAACUAGUGGAUUGGCAAACAGACUCAAAGAUUUUUAAAAAUCUGGCUGUUGUCUGCCUGAUUUAAAUAUGUGAAAGUAUUGAAUUUAGAAGGCUUACUUUUAAACUAUUUUAAAAUAGGAAAUUAUUGUAUGAGAAGGCUUGAUAGCCUUUGUUUAAUCAGUAUCAAGAGAUAUAAAACUUUUGCAAUGUUCCAUGUCACAAGAAAAUUUUUCAUGUGACCCUUGCUAAAUGACUGGAGUUGUAUGAAACUGUUCCACAUUUUAAUGAACCAGUAUGGAUAGCUGCGUCUGUGUAUAAUAUAUUAUAUAAGAAAUCAUUUUGAAAUGUAUGCAAAGAACUCAGUUUACCAAAUCACAGUACUGCUGCUUUUCUGAUUUAUUUACUAAAAGUAAAUUUUUAAGGUGUUGCAGAAAAUUAAAAAAGUAAAUUCAGGUGGAUUUUUAAUUUAUUUCAAAUAAUAAAGAGCUCAGUUCUUUUACCUAUCCUAAGUUACUAGUUAUUGUCUGUCUGUAUAGUAAGUCUUAUAUAUGAGAUAACUUAAAUCUUUGUAAAUUAGAAAAACAUAUGUGCACAUAUGCAUAUAUGUUAUAUAUAUAUCAGUCAUAUAUAAUUUGUUAUUCGGGAUAGUCACAAAGAUCAAAGCUUAUGCAUUUAAUAAAAAUACAAAUUAAUUGAUUGAUAGUAUCAAAUAAUGUUAGAGCUGUUAAUGGCAGAGAGAAAAAUGUAGUCUGAAAUUGCUAGUUAGAAACAAACCAAGAGAGGGCAUGACAUGCCAAAGAUGAUGUGAGGAAGAUGUAUAAAUUGAGACUAGAAUGUAGGCUAUGUUAUCUAUCUGUCUAUCUAUCUAUGUAUCUAUCCAUCCAUCCAUCCCAUGGCCAUUCAUUUAUUGAGAGUCUGCUAUGUGUUAAGCAUUUUGCAUGAAAAUGCAUGUAUAUUACAGUUCCCAGUCCCUUGCUUUACAUGCUAUUGUUUAGGAAUACCUACUCAAAUAGGUAUCCCUAUUUCAACGCUUUGCCUUCUUCACAAAAACAUUAAAACAUAUUAGAGAGUAAAUGGGAAAAAAAUAGAUUUGGAAGAUUAGUUUGGGAAAUCUAUCAAGAAAUAGAACAAAAAGUCAAAUAGAAAAAAGAGAGAAAAUUAGAAAACUCAUACAAGACAUGCAAUAUCUGCAUAAUACAAUUUUCAGAAAGAUGGAGCAGAGAAAAGGUAGAGGGAGAAAUCAUGAAAAUAGUUUUCUGAAGACAAAGGACAUAAAUUUCUUUACCUAAAAGGCCCACCAAGCACACAAGAUAAUGGAUUAAAUUAAACAAAUCAUGGUAAAGUUAAGAACACCACUUAGGAGCAAAGAUAUGGUUCUAAUUGUUCACAAAAAAGAGGGAAACAAAUAAUAAACAUGUAUAGUAUUGAGAAUUAUAAUUACUUUAGAAUUUUGAACAUCAACUCUGGAACCUAGAUUGAUGAAUUCAUAUGUUCAACAUUUUCAAGGAAAAUGAGAUCUAACCUAGAAUUCUAUAUAUGUGCAAACUUAAUAAAGUUAUUGGAGAGAUAAAGGAUCUUUAAACAUUUUGCUUUUCACAUGCCAUUUCCCAGGAAGCAACUGUAAUAUAUUCUUCACAAAUAUGAAGUAGAAAACCAAAAAUAAGAAACAUGUGGGACAAAGAAAGUAAGAGAUUCAACCCCGGAGAGAGGUUAAGGGAACCCCCCGGGUGCUAUUAAAGGCAGAAAGCAACCUGAGGGUUGUGCCCCAAGCACAGAGAGACCCAGCCCAGAUUUCAACAAGGUCAUGAAUGUGUCAAUCCAUAUAGUUUAAAACCUCACCACAUAACAUCCUUUCCCCCUGAUGAGCGGAUCAGCACAGUAAAAGUGAAUGGAUCUCACUUUAAUUGAUGAGAUGUAAAGACGAUACCGAUUGGAUGAGACCAUGAGGAGACAAUAAAGGUCACGCUAAAGCUGGCUUCUACCUUUUGAGUCUCAUUUUAGCAAGAGACUUCGGAUUCCUGCAGAGUAUAAUUCAGAAAAAACCUGCAAAUUUACUCUAAUCAAAGAAAGCAGCCUCUAUAUGGCACACGCUCAUAUAUGCCUAAACUACCCUUGAAACAAAAAACUGGUAGCAGUGACUGACUCUAGGAAAGGGAAUUGGGUAUCUAAAGCAAAAAGAAUGUAAGAGAAUUACUUUUCAUUCACCAGUUACUUUUGAAUUUUAUUCCAAAGGCAUGUAUUAUCCAGACAAAUGAUGAAAAUAAAAAGAUGGAAAUAAAAUGCACCACCCCCCAGAGUGUUUAGUCUUCUUAAAUGUCUGUUUGAGGUGUUCAGAAGCUCAUCAGCUCCACAAAGAUUCUUCAGAAACAGAGUGAUGCUAGGUUAUGCCUAGUCCAGCGUGUCUGAGCCUAAACAUCCUCGGAAGCCAGAACAGGCACCUAGGCCUUAUUUAUUUGUCAGCAGAAAAUGAGUUCAGAAGAGGAGGCCUCAAUAUACCUAAAUGUAAUAAGGAACAACAACUACAAAAGGUAAAGAAAGAAAAAAAAAAUUCCUUAACAAAAUUAAUUGGAAGGAAUGAAGAGGAUGGUGGUAGAAGAAAUUAUGUGUGCACUGAAAUCAUUUAAAAUGCUGGAAUAAUUUACAUAUAAAUUUCAAAAUAUGUAUGAAUUUUUAAGGCAGUGGAAUAUAUUUAAUUUUCACAGGAAACACAAAGCUCUGCUAAUGGGUUUCAUUUUUGAAAGUGCUUAUGUUUUUGUUUAGGAAUUAAUGCAAAAUUUACCAUGUUUUUAUUUCACUUAUGCUAAAGGAUAGAGGAUCUUUUUUAACUAAAGAAAACCAGCAAAAAUGUGACAACUUGUAAUUAAGCUUAAUCUUACAUAUCAGCAAAAAGUCAUGACUCACGGUUCAUCUAUUUAUCUUGAUACCUUAGGGCUUAUCUGUUUAUCUUGCUAGUCAUCUUGCUGCAUGAUGAUGUUCAUCUAUGACUUGAGGUUCGUCUAUUUAUCUUUCAGCAACAUUGUAACAUUGAAGUUGCAACAUCAAUAUUAAUAUUGCCCAAGUAUGCUCUUGAAAUGGCCCCUAAACAAAUAGCAAGUCUGUGUCUAUAACUUUAUCCUCUAUAAUGUUUCAAAUUUUAUACUAUAUGAGUAGAUAUUAAAUGCUCAUGUCCACAGAAUAUAUUUCUAAAAUUAGAAUGGCACAGAGAAGAUUAACAUGGUGUUUACACCAGGAUGCUGCGAAAAUUUGUGAAGUCUUCAAUAUUUUUACAUAAAAACUAGGAGAAUUUGUUGCUAGCAAACCAGUUCUACAAGGACUAAUAAAGAGAUUCCUUUAGAUGUAAAUAAAAGGAAACUAUACAAUAAACUGAAUACUUAUAAAGAAAUGAAGAGCACUGAUGAAGGUAACUAUAUAGGUAAAAGUUAAAAACAGUAUAAAUGUACUUUUUGUUUGUGAUACUUUUUUUCUCCUCUCUGAUUUAAAAGACAAGUCUAUAAAAUGUAUGUAAUACUUUUUUCUCCUUUCUGAUUUAAAAGACAAAUUUAUAAAGCAGUAAUUAUAAAUCUGUGUUUUUGAGUAUAUGAUGUAUAUAGAUGUAGUUUUUAUGACAAUACAAGCACGAAGGCAGCUGAUGGAAUAAAACUUCUUAGAAGCAAGUUUUUUUAAUAUCAUUGAUAUUAGGUUGGAAUUAAAAAUAAUUAGUGUGAGUUAAGAUGUUAAUUGUAAUCCUUAUCUCAGAAAUGUAGUUAACAGAUAAGAGUUUAGAAGUGGCCAUUAGAACAUAACUAUUUUACAACAAAGAAUGCAGUGAUAGAGGAAGAGGAAUCAAAAAAGAUACAAGACAUAUAGAAAAUAGCAAAAUGUCAGACAUAAAUUCUAAAUGAUUAGUAAUACACUUGUUGUAAUAGAAUUAAACAUUUCAAUCUAAAGGCAGAAAUUUUAAAAUGGAUUUAAGAAUAUACAAACAUAUGCUUUCUACAGUGAUACACUUUAGAUUCUAGGACACGUGGAAUAUAAAAGGGUGGAAAUAGAUAUGCCAUUAGAAUAGUAAAAAAGAAAAAAAUUGGAAGUGGCUAAGCAAAUAUCAGACAAAAUAUACUUUAAGAUGUAAAUUUUUGUUAGAGGCAAAUAAAUUUUAAUAAUGGUGAAAUGAUUGACCCAACAAGAAUAUAUAAGAAUUAUAAAUAUAUAUGCCCCUAACAACAGAACCUAAAAAUACAAGAAGAAAAAAUGGACAUGAUUGAAAGGAAAAAUUAACAGGUCUUCAAUAGUAGCUGAAUAUUUCAGUACUUCACUUUCAAUAACAGAACAACUAGACGCAAAAUGCAAAAGAAAAAGACUUAAACAACACUAUAAACCAACUAGACCUAACAGAUAUCUAUAGAACACUAACCAACAGCAGUAGAAAAAACAUUCUUUUCAAGUUUACAUGAAAUGUUAUUCAGGAUAGAACAUAUGCCAGGUCAUAUGAUGAACUUUAAUAAAUGUAAAAGGAUGUAAGCAAUAUAAAGUAUGCUCAUUGGCAACAAUGAAAUUAAAUUAGAAUUUAUUAACAGAAAAAAAUUGUGAAACUCACAAAAAUGUGGACACAGUUCAGUCCUAAAUAAAUAA